AGCCGCGGUAAUUCCAGCUCCAAUAGCGUAUAUUAAAGUUGUUGCAGUUAAAAAGCUCGUAGUUGAAUUUCGGGGUUAGUAGGUUGGUCAUGCCUCUGGUAUGUACUGGUCUCACUGAUUCCUCCUUCCUGAUGAACCUUAAUGCCAUUAAUUUGGUGUUUUGGGGAAUUUGGACUGUUACUUUGAAAAAAUUAGAGUGUUUAAAGCAAGCUAACGCUUGAAUACAUUAGCAUGGAAUAAUGAAAUAGGACGUUCGAUCCUAUUUUGUUGGUUUCUAGGAUUGACGUAAUGAUUAAUAGGGAUAGUUGGGGGCAUUAGUAUUCAAUUGUCAGAGGUGAAAUUCUUGGAUUUAUUGAAGACUAACUACUGCGAAAGCAUUUGCCAAGGAUGUUUUCAUUAAUCAAGAACGAAAGUUAGGGGAUCGAAGACGAUCAGAUACCGUCGUAGUCUUAACCAUAAACUAUGCCGACUAGGGAUCGGAUGAUGUUAAUUUUUUAAUGACUCAUUCGGCGCCUUACG
rnacentral:misc_RNA from 1 species